rnacentral:tRNA from 1 species
UCCCUUGUAGCCCAGUCGGUAAAGAAUCUGCCUGCAGUGCAGAAGACCCGGGUUCGAUCCCUGGGUCGGGAA